rnacentral:lncRNA from 1 species
UGUAUAUGGUGAUAUUGUAUUGUUUCUUAGUUGGCUACUAAUUAUAAUUCUUCGGAUCAAUAUGCUUGUCUUCUGGCUCUAGUGAUAAUGAUGGUGGCUCUUAGAAUAUGAGGUUGUGGGUUAGGAUUCUGUGAAAAUCUAAAAAAUUGGUUUACUUAUACUCAUUUUUGGCAUUCAGCUAUCAUCUUACGCGUCCUAUUUGUAUAGGUUCACUGCUACUCAAUUGAACCAAGAUUUAUUACCACUUCUACUGCUUCACUCGAGAAAAUGAAACUAAUACUGGAAGAUCAAUAAAUAAUUAAUGAGUGAAUGCAACCAACCAAUUUUCCAGGAAAUCUGAAUAGCUUGAUUACUAGAAUUCAUAGUUUUGUUGUAUAGAACAAAAUUUGUAUAAAUUAGUACAGAAGGGUGAAAUUGUAAAAGGGUCUCCAUGGUCUUUCUUUAGGUUGAUUGACUCUUUUUCCUCAGUAUAAUUGUCUCUGGGAAUGAGUUCCCACUUUGCAGCAAUGGUUUCCAUUCUACUGAAAGAGAGCAUAUUGAACUAUUUCAAAGGCAAACAAAUAAGGAUUGUUUAAUUAUGUAGGCUUUUCAAUAUAGGUCAUGGUUUUCUUGACAGAAUAUGCGCUAAGAGUCAAUGCUUUCAUGCUCUUAUUAUCUUUUAUUGUGUGCUGGGACUGUUGUAUCUACAACAAAUAUGUGAACAAGAGACUCUUAUUUACUUUGUUGAUAAAAAUGUUAUAUGAGCUUUGAUUGGAUUUACUAAUAAGCCUCCUUGUUUGUGUUCCCUCAACUUUCUACUUUACACCGUGUUAUCUAUUUUACUAUUUACACUUGAAAAAUUAUAUAAAUAAAAAUCAUUGUUUCAUGUAUUUACCUAACCGAUGAAAGACAAUAGCAAGACCACCCGUGUAGGUUUUGAUAUCUUGUGGAAAGCCAUUGUUGCCGAAGUCGUGUGCCUAUUUCUUCAAUCUACUGAUGUCCAAUCAAUUUUCCUUUAAAUGUUUUAAGGAGCGGGGGGUGGGUGAUCUGCAUACUUCAUUGUAUAUUUUUCCUUAAGUUGUGUGGUACUAUUACUGGGUUCAGAUGUUGGCAUGGACUUGUUCUGAUGAUCAAACAUCAUGACUUGGAAGAAUGAUUCCUUCUUGAAAGGUGAAACUUUCCCAGAACAAGAAUAUUGGCAUUUGUGAUUUUUUUGCUGACAUUUGUUUUAACUUUUAAUCCCUGGACAAAAUGCUAAAAACCCUAUGUGGCUUAAAGAGUUGAAAACCCAUAUGUAAUUAGCCAAAAUUUGGUCUGUUGGUGUUUUCGGUACCCGCAGUCUGACCAAUUCAAGUCUUUUACUGUGAGGACAAGGGAUGGGCUGCAAUAAUUACAAGUUCCAACUAAAAACUUCACUCUGAUUGUAACUAAGCCCCUCGUUGGUGUAGAUUGGAAUCAGAUUUUUAGUAGAUUUUGAUACGAGUUGAUGAAAUGUGUGGUUGAAAAGUUGUGGAUCCCAUAAAAUAUGUGGUUAAAAUUAAUUGUUGACUUUGACUCGAGAUUUUAAUCUAAAGGGGCUAAAAUUAAUUUCAUUUUUAAAUUAAACAACCACAUGGAUCGGGAUUGGGAGUUUUUAUGUCAAGCUGGACUUCAAAAAUUCUUUUUGUGGAAUUCUAAUCGGUUGGUGACUGUGGACCUGGAUCUGGAGUUUUGAUGUCAAGCUGGACUUCAGAAAUUCUUUGUGGAAUUCUGAUCGGUUGGUAACUGUUUGGAUUACACCAACCCAUACGUUAUAGAAAAAUAGAGGAUAGCCUAUAACUCUAAUUGUGGAAGGGCAAAUCUCUUCAGGUAUUAUCACUUUUUCUUUGUUCUCCUCCUUACAAGAUAAACAUAUUUUUUUUUCUUGUUAAACUAAUUUCAGUCAUUAAAUGGAUUUUUAGAUGAUUUCUCUGUAGCAAAGAUGCAGCUAUGAUCUCUUGCUGUCAUCUUUUUUGCCAAAUAUCUUUAUUUUUUUCUGAAAAAAAGUAUUUCUUUUCUUUUGUUGCUCUUGAUAUUUUUGGCUAAUAAUUUAUCGCCUGCUUGAUGGUUACACACUUGCACCUAUGCGAAGCUGAAACCCAAUUUUUUUUUAUUUUAUAAAUAAGAAAAAAAAAAUUCUGCUUUUGCUGGUUUUAGAUAUGAUUUUGAUCUAAUAUGGCGGCUUUGCUGUUUCUAAUUGCAUCUUUCAAUUAUUAGAUGGAGACUAAGAUGUGAUGAUUAGGGGGGGUUGUAAUUCUUAAUUGAAAAAUAAUACCCCAUGCUUGUUAAUUUGUACACUGAUGAACGUUAUUUUCUUCUUUCUGCUAUU